rnacentral:rRNA from 11 species
AAAACCCUAAAUACUCUGAAUACACUGGAUCCCAUCUGAUCUUGGAAGCUAAGCAGAAUUAGUCCUGGUUAGUACUUGGAGAGGAGAUCACCAACAAAUACCUAUUGCUGUGGGCUAUU